AUUGAACGCUGGCGGCAUGCCUUACCUAGCAAGUCGAACGGCAGCACGGAGCUUGCUCUGGUGGCGAGUGGCGAACGGGUGAGUAAUAUAUCGGAACGUACCCUAGAGUGGGGGAUAACGUAGCGAAAGUUACGCUAAUACCGCAUACGAUCUAAGGAUGAAAGUGGGGGAUCGCAAGACCUCAUGCUCGUGGAGCGGCCGAUAUCUGAUUAGCUAGUUGGUAGGGUAAAAGCCUACCAAGGCAUCGAUCAGUAGCUGGUCUGAGAGGACGACCAGCCACACUGGAACUGAGACACGGUCCAGACUCCUACGGGAGGCAGCAGUGGGGAAUUUUGGACAAUGGGCGAAAGCCUGAUCCAGCAAUGCCGCGUGAGUGAAGAAGGCCUUCGGGUUGUAAAGCUCUUUUGUCAGGGAAGAAACGGUGAAAGCUAAUAUCUUUUGCUAAUGACGGUACCUGAAGAAUAAGCACCGGCUAACUACGUGCCAGCAGCCGCGGUAAUACGUAGGGUGCAAGCGUUUAUCGGAAUUAUGGGCGUAAAGGGGGGCCCAGGCGGUUUUGUAAGUCUGAUGUGAAACCCCGGGGUUCAACCUGGGAAAUUGCCAUGGGAGAUUCCAAGGCUAGAAUUUUGCCAGAGGGGGGGUAGAAUUCCCCGGUGUACCAGUGAAAAUGCUUAGAUAUGUGGAGGACCCCCGAGGGCGAAGGCCCGCCCCCUGGGUCAAGGAUUGCCGCUCCGGCCCCAAAGGCGGGGGAGCCAAACAGGAUUAGAUACCCUUGGUAGUUCACGCCCUAAACGAUGUCUACUAGUUGUCGGGUCUUAAUUGACUUGGUAACGCAGCUAACGCGUGAAGUAGACCGCUGGGGGAGUACGGUCGCAAGAUUAAAACUCAAAGGAAUUGACGGGGACCCGCACAAGCGGUGGAUGAUGUGGAUUAAUUCGAUGCAACGCGAAAAACCUUACCUACCCUUGACAUGGCUGGAAUCCUUGAGAGAUCAGGGAGUGCUCGAAAGAGAACCAGUACACAGGUGCUGCAUGGCUGUCGUCAGCUCGUGUCGUGAGAUGUUGGGUUAAGUCCCGCAACGAGCGCAACCCUUGUCAUUAGUUGCUACGAAAGGGCACUCUAAUGAGACUGCCGGUGACAAACCGGAGGAAGGUGGGGAUGACGUCAAGUCCUCAUGGCCCUUAUGGGUAGGGCUUCACACGUCAUACAAUGGUACAUACAGAGCGCCGCCAACCCGCGAGGGGGAGCUAAUCGCAGAAAGUGUAUCGUAGUCCGGAUUGUAGUCUGCAACUCGACUGCAUGAAGUUGGAAUCGCUAGUAAUCGCGGAUCAGCAUGUCGCGGUGAAUACGUUCAAGGGUCU
rnacentral:rRNA from 1 species